GUCCACGCCGUAACGAUGUCGACUAGCCGUUGGGCCCUUAUGGGGUUUAGUGGCGCAGCUAACGCAUUAAGUCGACCGCCUGGGGAGUACGGCCGCAAGGUUAAACUCAAAUGAAUUGACGGGGCCCGCACAAGCGGUGGAGCAUCUGGUUUAAUUCGAUGCAACGCGAAGAACCUUACCUACCCUUGACAUCCAGAGAAUCUGUUAGAGAUAGUGGAGUGCCUUCGGGAACUCUGAGACAGGUGCUGCAUGGCUGUCGU
rnacentral:rRNA from 1 species